GAUGAACGCUAGCGGCAGGCCUAAUACAUGCAAGACGAAUGGUAAGCUAGAUAGCAAUAUUUAGCCAAGAGUGUCGUAAGGGUGCGUAACACGUAUGCAAUCUGCCCUGUACAGGUGGAAUAGCUCGGGGAAACGUACGAUUAACACACCGUAAGAUCACUGAUCAGGCAUCUGAUUGUGAUUAAAACAAGAGGUGGUACAGGAUGAGCAUGCGCAUGAUUAGCUAG
rnacentral:rRNA from 1 species